CACGUUUACAGUUUGCACAAGAGCACCUGGAUGUUCCACAGCAGUACUGGCAAAAUAUUCUGUGGACAGAUGAAACCAAAGUUGAGUUGUUUGGAAGAAACACACAACACUAUGUGUGGCGAAAAAAAAAGGCACAGCACACCAACAUCAAAACCUCAUCCCAACUGUGAAGUAUGGUGGUGGGGGCAUCAUGGUUUGGGGCUGCUUUGCUGCGUCAG